CCUCGUUUUUAAAUGCUUUCUUUCUCUCUCUCUUUCCCUCGCUCGUUCUAAGCAGUGUGGCAUCAGCUCUUGUAUCCACUCUCACUUGUGGGUAGCGAUGUAACCUGUUGCAGAUUCCCUCCCUGAUGCCCUCUUGACAGCGACGUUCUCCAUCAAUUCCCAGCAGUGAAGACAUUCCAUAAUGUCCUGUCUUUGGGUGCAUUUGAGUCUGCUCUACCUCCUACAACACAGUGUUGCAUCAGAUCAAGUAGUGUCACUGGACUGCCCAGAGAAAGUGGAAGUCGAAAAGGGAGCCAACGUGACAAUAAACUGUACAAUUAAAUUAAAUUCUUCCAGGACCUGUACAAUUACAGCCUGCCACUGUUAUUAUCCAGAUAGUAACAUUGAAUGUGGUAAUGCCUCAGGAAAGUACAACUGUGACUGGAAUAAUAACUCCCACGUGUUACUGACCAUCGUUAAUGCUUCCAAAGACGAAAAUGUCAAAGUUUACGUUGUGACAGACCUUGGUGAGGACCUUUCUCCUCCUAUAAGAGUGGAUGCCUCUGAAAGUCAGACAGGCGAAUCUGGUGGUGAUGAGCCGGGCAACCCAACACAUCUGAUUUCAAGCAUACUGGGUGUUUUUGCUACCAUCAUUGUUGUGGCAAUUUUGGUGUUUCUUAUUAAACAGUGCAUUGAAGUGUCCAAAAAGCAAUCUACACCAAAGAGUGAGCCAACAGCAGAACGUCAACUUCUAUAAGAAAUGCAAGAAGGUUACUACUACAGUAGUAGUCCCUUGUCCACUUACCUGAAACCUGGACUAUCAGCCACCUGUGAUUAAGCUGCUGCUGGUGGUAGCUUUGUGUACAUUUAAAUGAUCUGUAUGUUCAAGCUUUUUAUCCAUAGAGUGAGUUAUCUUGGUGCUAUGAUCAAUUCUAACAAAGGUACAUACUGUGUAAAUACUGCAUUUUUUUGUAAAUAAAAGAUAUUUCUUAACAUA